rnacentral:lncRNA from 1 species
AAUAUGGGGUUGGAGCCCCCACACUGGAGGCCACCAUCAUGAAGACCCCAGAUUCAUAGACCCACCAAGAGCUUUGCACCCUCCAUGUGUUAUAAACCCCAGGCACUCAACACCAGCACAGCCCAUGAGGGCAGCUGCACAGGCUGAACACUGCAAAGUCACAGGUGAGCUGCCCAAGGCCUUGGGAGCCCAGCCCUCACGCCCUUGUGCCCUGGAUGUGGGACAAGGAUUAAAAAAGGAUGACUUUUGAGCUGUGGGUUUGAAUAACUGGCCUGCUGGGUUUUGGACUUUUCAUGGAGCCUAGGCUCAGGGGCAGAAGAGACUGCCUUUUCUCAGAUGAGACUUUGGGCUUUGGACAUUUGAGUAAAUGCUGGAAUGAGUUAAGACCUUGUGGGACUGUAGCCUUACCCUGUAGGAAUUCUAGUGACUAUGUUGCCACCAUCUUGGAGCUCCAUGCCCUCAUAGUGUAAUGGCAUCAGCAGAUCUGCCUGUGCACAGACUUCCUGUACUACCUCACUCCUGAGGGGAGAUGCUUCUGCAGGGCCUGCGACCUGGUGCUCAACUUUAGACACCAUCAUUCUGGAGCGGCACUGCACCCUCACUAGCCAGGGUGUUGACGUCCUCAAGGCCAAGGCCACAUUCAAGACUUUGGACUUCAUUGAUGCACUUGUGCCGAGCAAGCUUAUCUGAUCUUCUGGGAUCUCUACUAGGAUGCUGGCAGCCCAGCCAGCUGGUCUGGCCCUGGACGUGCCUUCAGGGGCUGGGUAUGCUUCAUGACCUGUGUUUUGAUCCUGGUUGGAGUAAAACAUUCCAUGGGAACUCGGGCUGUGAGAAACGUCCUAACCACCUGACUGCAGAAACAUCCUUAUCACAUCCUGCUGGGCAAAGGCCCAACAGCCUGACUUCAGGAACAUCCUUAUCAUCAUCUACUGAGCAGCAAGCUAUACUGUCCAGAGCCCUCCCUCCCAGCCCCAUGAUUACCCCAGCCUGUAAGUGGCAGUGGGCGCUGACACUAAGCUGGUUUCCCCCUCCGCAGGGUUUUGCUAGUAAUAAACCUGUGUUGCUGUUG